rnacentral:rRNA from 1 species
AGAGUUUGAUCCUGGCUCAGGAUGAACGCUGGCGGCGUGCCUAAUACAUGCAAGUCGAGCGAACGGACGAGAAGCUUGCUUCUCUGAUGUUAGCGGCGGACGGGUGAGGAACACGUGGAUAACCUACCUAUAAGACUGGGAUAACUUCGGGAAACCGGAGCUAAUACCGGAUAAUAUUUUGAACCGCAUGGUUCAAAAGUGAAAGACGGUCUUGCUGUCACUUAUAGAUGGAUCCGCGCUGCAUUAGCUAGUUGGUAAGGUAACGGCUUACCAAGGCAACGAUGCAUAGCCGACCUGAGAGGGUGAUCGGCCACACUGGAACUGAGACACGGUCCAGACUCCUACGGGAGGCAGCAGUAGGGAAUCUUCCGCAAUGGGCGAAAGCCUGACGGAGCAACGCCGCGUGAGUGAUGAAGGUCUUCGGAUCGUAAAACUCUGUUAUUAGGGAAGAACAUAUGUGUAAGUAACUGUGCACAUCUUGACGGUACCUAAUCAGAAAGCCACGGCUAACUACGUGCCAGCAGCCGCGGUAAUACGUAGGUGGCAAGCGUUAUCCGGAAUUAUUGGGCGUAAAGCGCGCGUAGGCGGUUUUUUAAGUCUGAUGUGAAAGCCCACGGCUCAACCGUGGAGGGUCAUUGGAAACUGGAAAACUUGAGUGCAGAAGAGGAAAGUGGAAUUCCAUGUGUAGCGGUGAAAUGCGCAGAGAUAUGGAGGAACACCAGUGGCGAAGGCGACUUUCUGGUCUGUAACUGACGCUGAUGUGCGAAAGCGUGGGGAUCAAACAGGAUUAGAUACCCUGGUAGUCCACGCCGUAAACGAUGAGUGCUAAGUGUUAGGGGGUUUCCGCCCCUUAGUGCUGCAGCUAACGCAUUAAGCACUCCGCCUGGGGAGUACGACCGCAAGGUUGAAACUCAAAGGAAUUGACGGGGACCCGCACAAGCGGUGGAGCAUGUGGUUUAAUUCGAAGCAACGCGAAGAACCUUACCAAAUCUUGACAUCCUUUGACAACUCUAGAGAUAGAGCCUUCCCCUUCGGGGGACAAAGUGACAGGUGGUGCAUGGUUGUCGUCAGCUCGUGUCGUGAGAUGUUGGGUUAAGUCCCGCAACGAGCGCAACCCUUAAGCUUAGUUGCCAUCAUUAAGUUGGGCGCUCUAAGUUGACUGCCGGUGACAAACCGGAGGAAGGUGGGGAUGACGUCAAAUCAUCAUGCCCCUUAUGAUUUGGGCUACACACGUGCUACAAUGGACAAUACAAAGGGCAGCGAAACCGCGAGGUCAAGCAAAUCCCAUAAAGUUGUUCUCAGUUCGGAUUGUAGUCUGCAACUCGACUACAUGAAGCUGGAAUCGCUAGUAAUCGUAGAUCAGCAUGCUACGGUGAAUACGUUCCCGGGUCUUGUACACACCGCCCGUCACACCACGAGAGUUUGUAACACCCGAAGCCGGUGGAGUAACCUUUUAGGAGCUAGCCGUCGAAGGUGGGACAAAUGAUUGGGGUGAAGUCGUAACAAGGUAGCCGUAUCGGAAGGUGCGGCUG